GUGAGUAUCGCGAGUAUACGUACACGUUUGGAUGGGUAUGCGCGUUAUGUACGCCUUUGGCGCGUAUAAUAAUUAUUUAUCAAAACACCCCGACCUUCGCGAGCGACAAAACCUGACUAGACUGACGUCGCGGUGAAUAGAAGAAGAGAGAGAGAGCGCGCGCGCGCGCGAGAGGGAGAGAGAGAGAGAGAGAGAGUAGAAAAAAGGAAAACAAGGGAGACGGAGAGGCGGAGAGAGGAAGAGAGAAGGAUAUAAAUUGUUGAAACACGACUUCUCGCCUCUCUGAUGCAGAAAGACUCGCAGGCGUCGUGUGUGCGAAAAGAAGGAAAAACGAGCAUAAGGAUGGUAUUAUAAAUACGGGAUGAUACCGCGCGCUGGAAAGAGGGGUAAACGCGUCAAAAUAUUCAUAAAUUAAACAGACGGAGGAAGUACAUGGCGAAAACCGGAGGAUCGUUUCCGAGGAGAGAAGGUGGCGACGAUCGCGAGGAUGAUGAUGAUGACGAUGACGACGACGACGACGAUGAUGAUGGUAGCGGUGGUUGCGGUGGCGCGGCACCGUAGUGGAAAGUUUUUCAAGGAGACGACACGUGUAUAGGUAUAGGUAUCGCAUACGUAUAGGUGUACGUAAUACAUAUCCCCGCGUAAAUAAUUAUUUUCUUUUUCGAAACGAUUUUCUUAUACGCGAACCCAACGCGCGAACGGAUGAAACACGGACGACUUACGAAUGGGCUAGAUUACAUCUAUAUCUAAUCGCAACCCCCGAUCAUAUAAAUUCGGGCACUUACGACCUACGUAGUUGCGCGAUUGCUUCGCUACGACAAUAUCGGGGCGAUAAAGGCGAAGAAACUUUGCACCCCGCGGAUCGAUUCGUUGGUGGCAAAAGAAAAAAAAAAAAACCCAAAAUCGAAGGUAACCGGGAGAGCAGCGUGCGCGCGAGUCCGACGAGCGGGGUGAAAAAUGUACUUCGUACAGGGUUUCAGGGAUGCCGGGAAUCCGGCGGCGAGUCCUGCACGGGUAACCCCGAACCCCGAGAGGUCCUGGAAACGGAGGAGAACGCGAGGCGAAUGUUGUCGAUUCGGCCAGCGCCAAACCGUGGCACGGCCUGUAUAACAGGGGAGUGGCAGGAUGUCCGUGGAAACGAGCGUUCGCAUGCAUCGCGAGUUAACAGAGCUCCGCAGCGGAGCAUAGCAAAGCGAAGUGGUUCGGUUGCUGACUUCAUUCUGCGGUAAAGAAUCGAGAAAAGUCCAGGCCGAGGUAGAGAGUCGAGGGUUUCGCGGGAGCACGAACGCGAAGAGGGGAAGACCGAGGAAGGGAUAAGGAAAAAAGAAAAAUAAAAAAGAGGAUAGGGGGAAGAAACGGCGAACAAAAAAAAAUUGAGGAAAAACGACGAGCGGAGGGAGGGGGGAGGCGGGAGGAGAAUUCUGUGCCGCUGUUGCUGCUGCUGCUGCGUCGACGUCGUCGUCGUAGUCGUCGUCGUCGUCGUCGUCUCUGCAAUACCGAGCGUGGCCCAGAUUUUCGAACGCUAGGGGAACGGCGACGCCGUUUUGUAGGUGCUGGUGUGUUGUCCGUAUACGUUACACGUACCGCUGCGCCGUGAUCGUCGGCAGCGGCAGCAGGAGCUGCACCACCACCUUAUAUUUUAUACCUAAAACCCGCCUUAUAUUCCGAUACGUCUACCUAUACAUAUACCCAUACUAAAAGUCAGUUCUCUCCGGAAUCCGGAUAGCUAGAGCCGAGCUCGCGGAGACGACGGUAUUAGAUGCUGCGUGUACAGAAGAACGCGAGUAUCGUCCUGGUCUAUUCCGUGAUUCGAAAAUUCCGAUGAAAUUUUCCGAUGGGUUUUUCGUCAUUUUCCAAUAUCCGAAUCGCUUUGCGUGCAAAUUCGGCGCGGGAAAUGCGGAGAGGAAAUUUUCGCCGACCACCCUCCGCGGUAUUUUAGCUGAGAAUACCGAGUUCCCGACGACGAAACUGCCGGAAAAAUCGAGAAGAGAAAUAAGAGAACGAUGAAAAAAGUAAACUAAUAGCUAAAUGAGGCGCGUUUCAUUUCACGUGUGUGCGUCAUCCGCUCCUCGAUCUUUCCGAGGAUCGGUUUCUGGCUGCAACGGCGGUCUGCCGCACACGGCAACAAGAAUAAGAGGAUAAAACGAAAAGGAAUAAGAAGGAGGUGACUGUUAGCUUGUUCCCCCCUUCUCCACGAAUUCCCCCUUGCAUCCCUUCGCCAUUCGAGGACGGACGCACCUCCUGCAGUUGCAGUUUUCACCGUUAUCGCACGGGUUUUGUCGAGUCAAAUUGACUUGAUUAAUUAUUGUUAUUUUGUCCUUUUAUUUAUAAUUCGUUUCAGGAACUGGCUAAACGUUCGCAACGACGCUUAUGGUUGCGGUGAAUCAUACGGACGCACGUGUUUUUUGAUUUUGAUGAAUUUUUUUUUCUUUCUAAUUGGUCACACGAAUCCAAUAAAAGUGAUGGUCGUCGUGUUACGUAAACGAUACUAACGAUUGUUACUGUAACGACAAUAAUAAAAGCAAUGGUGAUCCAAUUUCAGAAGAGGAUAUGAUUGAGAAGAUCGAUGAGGGUUGGAAAAAAAACAAAAAAAAAAAAAACGGAAAUAAUCCUGCAGUCAGCAGCAACGCGAAUACGUCAGUUUUUACAAUUAUUUGAAUCAAAGUAGAUUUCGCGACGGUUACACGAUCAACUUUCAAGUUCCCCUCCCCCUUUCCUUGAAUCUCCAACUUCUGGUAAUUACUUGAAAGAACCAAAAUUCAAGACGAAAAAAAAGAAGGAAAAUACAUUCUCGAAUUUAAUAAUAUUAUGCACGCGUAUACCCUUGACUUAUAAUACCGACAAUGAGAUGACAAAUUAAUAUACAUAUAUACACGCAUGGGGCAACCACGUGUUAAAUGUCAGCAGAACUGAUGCAGAAUUAAAUGGGAAUGAGAAAAAAUAUUUUUAAAACGUGGUGGGGGUAGGAGACAUUGAAUAAAAAUCGCGUUCAUACAAGAAAUGAGAAAUAUACAUGAGUAAAUAGAUGAGUUGAAAAUUUUUUUACACUGACUUACGACAAUUUUUUGAAGAGGUUAGUAUUUCCCCGUGGCUCCUUGUAAAUAAUACGGAAGCGAGGGAUGAGAAAAUGAGAAAAAAAACAAUGAAAACCAUGAACCGUAUCCGACACAAUAAUCUUUCAAAUUUUCUCUGUAACAAUCAUUUUUUUUUUCUCUCUGUGGUGUUUUUUUUUUUUUUUUUUUUUUUCUUUACCUUUAUUGCCAGGUAUUCGUUUACUCCGUGAGUUAUAUAAAUUGUAUAUCAGAUUUUCAAAACUGUAUCUGAUUUAGCAACAGCAGCAGCAGCAGCAGCAACAAUGUAAUUAUCACAAAACGAAAGCACACAUUGUUACACCAGGUUACACUUUUAGCAGACGGUUAAAAUGAUGGUGUAUUUAUAAAUAAUAUCGUAAAAAGCACGUGACAUGUUAAUGACAAUGAUAAUGGUAACGAUAAUAAUAGCGGAGAAGAAAAAAAAAAAAAAAAUUGUUUCUUUCUUUAUAGAAAAGAAAAAGUCACGCACCACUUUUUGACACCCUGUGUAACGGUAAUAUUGAGCACGAAUGUUGGAAAGAAAGAUGGAAGAAAAUAUGAAAAAUCAAAAACGAACGAUUAUAUCACUGCCAGCUGAUAAUUGAUAUGAAAUUUUCUAGUGUAAUAAUGAUACCGGAAACAACGAACGGUAAAUCUCUGGAUCUCGGUCCUCGGUGGCGUCGCUAAUUUUCAAUAAUUAUUAUUAAUUCCAUAUAAUUAGUGCUACAAUAUACCUAUAUUGCACGUUCGGUGAUAGAUAUAGUAAAUACGUGUACUCCGUUUUUCCACAAUAUUUUCUGUUCUUCAAAACUUUAAGGGGUUAUUAUUUAUCGUGACGAUAAAACUUGUUUUUGGCGUCGCACUAGAGUAAAUUUGUAAGAAAUUAAAAUUACAGUAGCAAUAACAAUAGUAAUUUUUCAUGGUUUUAUUAUCGAUCAACACAGCUGAUUCGAUUCCGUCCUUUUUCUCUUCUUUUUAUUUUAUUUUAUUUUAUUUUAUUUCUCUUAAUCAAUAUUUUAUUUUACUUUAUCACGUUUUUUUCAAAAACACACCCACGUAAAACAUACACACGUCCGUAUUUUUUCUUGGCCUUCGAGUGCGCAAAGCGAAAGAAAAAAAAAAAAAGAAAAAACUCUAUGAAGAAAAACGAAAAUGGACUUCGCGCCGGGGUUGGUCACGCGGCAGUCCCCGCGAAACGGACAGACAAACGGACGGAUAAAAUAGAGGAGGAAAAGAUAAAGAAAAAAAAAAAAAAAAAUGGUCGGACGGACGGACGUACGGGACGUUUCGGAGUAGCGGAUGGGGACGUGCGGACGUACCGACGGACGGCGGGGGACUGUCGGUCUUUCGAAUAAGGGGGGGUUCGACGUCCUUACGCCGCCUUAAGUUUCCCCCCCCUAUUUUAGUUCCUACUUUAAAGUGGGUUUCAGGGUUGGUGGCGCUGCAUGGGGCUGCGUAACGUUUCACCAUACGACAAAUAUAUUAUUUACACUAUUGCGUCGUCGUUAAAUAAAUAUAUUCGUUGGUAGAAAUUUUUUCGAACACUUAUACAUCGGGAGUGGUAAAAGGGGAGAAAAAAGAAUUAUCCCGGCGUAAACUUCACGAACUUGUUUAAGGGACGUGUCGGGCAUCUAGACGUUGGAAGAAAAGAAAAAGAGAAAUCUAUGAUUCGGUAAAUUAGUCUGCGAAAUCCGAGGUCAUUUUUGUUUUUUUCUCCUCCUUCUUUUCUCAAUCGAAGCUAGUGUUCCCGUAUUCCACUCGACGUUAUCGAACGCAAAAAUUAAAUUAUGGUUAAUUACUCGAUUCAAGUUUAGAGGCGGGUGUAACGGUGAGUUCGCCAUGUUGAAUUUUCUCAUUUAACGGAGAAAAAUGGUAACUUAACGAACGUAGGCGGUGAAGCGCAAUUUACGGUGCGCGUACUCGGGGGGAAAAAAAAAUAAAUAAAUUAGUUCACCUCAAACUGAAUAGGUUUGGAAUUUGAAAGGAAAAAAUCGAAAACUAAUCUAUACGUUGACUAUUGAAUAGAACAAAUGGAAAAAAAGAAUGCAAGCCUUUCAAAUUGUAAAAUAAACAGCCCCCCGGAGAUAAGAAAAAUUUAUUAUCGUGGCUAUGUUAUGGUAAAUUUGUGUAAGAAAAAAAAAAGAAAAAAAAAAAAAGAA